ACCUCUCUGUCACCAACCUUUUCCAUCUAGUUUAUUUACUUAUUACUUUCUUGCUUUGUAUUUGAGCAGCUGAAUUUUCCUCCACUGCCAUCGAAGUGAGGAGGAGGAGAAAUUACUCACUUUAGAGUAUAACCUUUACCACAGUACUGGAGACUAAUCUCUUCUAAUGUUUCUUCUAAUUUCCUGUUGCCUCCCAAACAUGGCUGAGUCUCAGCUAGGAAACAAUGCAUCUGAAGGUGAAGUAUGCCACCUACUGGCUGACUGCCUCACCAGCACUGGCCACCAGGUUCUAGAUGCCAACCAGACUUCCAUGAUGCCAACCAGACUUCCGUGGACAGACAACCCCAACAAUGUGUCCUGGAGUUCCGAUUCCCCAGAACUCUGACCUACCAGGGAAAGAGAGAGGAAGGCUGGGAGUAUGGAUCCACCUGUCAACACCCAUGUUCAGCAGGGAAGCAAUUAUAGAAGCCAGACCUUCCACCUUCUGCAUCCCACAAUAACUCUGGGUCCAUACUCCCAGAGGGUUAAAGAAUAGGAAAGCUAUCAGGGGAGGGGAUGGGAUAUGGAGUUUUGGUGGUGGGAAUUGUGAAUUGUGUAGAAUUGUACCCCUCUUAUCCUAUGGUUUUAUGUUUCCUUUUUAUAAAUAAAAUAAGUAUAUAUAUUAUAUAUAUACACACACAUAUAUAUAAGAUUAUGUAUAACUAUAUAGAUCUAUUCUUCUAAUAUAAUGACAUCUUUACAAAUAUUAUAGUUUCUUUCUUUUUUUUCCCUACUACUCAGCUCCAUCUUCACACUUCCGUUCAAGUGUCUUCUCAGUCUGAUUUUGCCUAAAGGCCUUUUUUUAAAAAAAAUUCUUUAUUAGGGAAUUAAUGGUUUACAGUUGACAGUAAAAUAUAAUAGUUUGUACAUGUGUAACAUUUCCACAUAACAAUACAACCCCCACUAGGUCCUUCUCAGCCAUCAUGUUCCAGGACCUGAACCCUAACCCUAACCCUAGUCUUUUACUUUGGUGCAAUACAGCAACAAAUAUUACUGUUUCUAGUUAAACUCAGCCAAAUAAUAAAUCCUGUGACUGAGCUAUCAAUCUACAGUAAGAGUCACAUUUUUGUUCAUUUCAACUCCACAAAUUAAAAAAAAAAAAAAAACGGUAUAAAAACUAUCUAACAUGUAAAAUUUGAAAUGGCAUGAAUUGCUCAAAUUUUAAAUACUCACCAAGAAAUAUUAUUUAUAAACUAUCUUCAUUCUCCUGCCUUAUGAGUUAAUAGAUAAAAACACAAGCAAUCUCUUCUCAACUAUCCUAGGAAUUACCAGUCUUUAAAAUACAAGUAGAUUUGCUGUUAUUUCAUGUACCCAUUAUUACUUCUAAAUUAUUUUAUAGCCUGUAAUGAUGUCAUACAAGCCUUCAUUAAGUGGCAGUAAUAAAACUAGUACUUAAAAAGUUGACCUUAAAUCAGUAAUUAUGAAACAAAGGUUAAAUGUAAUAAAAUCCCUUGAAAAAAAUCAAAUGGCUUCCCUGGUACACUGUAGCAUUCAUUUAGAUUAAAGAAAUCUAAAGAAUAUUAGAAGUAAUAUUUAGAAAUAAAAUGGAUACUUACAACAAAAAUAUGGUACAAUGAGGGUGGAUGUAUGCCCUCUGAGAAUACAUAUGACCUCCUCAUUUUAUAUUUAUUCUUGUGAAAAGACAUUCCUGAAUUAAGUAUA